rnacentral:rRNA from 1 species
UACGUAGGGUGCAAGCGUUGUCCGGAAUUAUUGGGCGUAAAGAGCUCGUAGGCGGUCUGUCGCGUCGGAUGUGAAAACUCGGGGCUCAACCCCGAGCCUGCAUUCGAUACGGGCAGACUAGAGUUCGGUAGGGGAGACUGGAAUUCCUGGUGUAGCGGUGAAAUGCGCAGAUAUCAGGAGGAACACCGGUGGCGAAGGCGGGUUGCUGGGCUGACACUGACGCUGAGGCGCGAAAGCCAGGGGAGCGAACGGG